UGGAAUUGUAGUUAAAUAUCAAGUUAUCAACCAAGUUUGGAAGUAAAUCACAUUGAGCUAUCUGUGAUCAAUGAUCACUUUAUAGAACUCUACAAAGUACAAACACAAAAUAUUGUUAAACAAUUAACACAUUAACAAUGCUCAGAUUGGAAACAGACGAAUAUCUUAUACCAGUAAAUAAGGAAAUCUAACUUUUUAGCCAUUAAUUGCAGAAAAGUGCUUAAAGGUAUUGAAUUAAUUGGUUACAAGCAUAGCCUUUAUGCAUUAUUUAUUGAAUGGGAGAACUUGUGCCUUUUGAGCCAGCCAAACUGGAGCUGCUAUGUUGUUGCUAGAUUACAGAAAUGAUGAAACUUCCUAAAUGCUAGUACAUAAAGAAUGUAAUAUAAUGAUUAUCCGUUCAACUUACUAAAUGGUAUAAUUCUAAAUGAAAUCUAUUUUAAGUUUUGGAUAAUUUUGGCAGUACCACUAAAGUGAAUCCAUGGCAGAUUAAAACAUUACACUAAGAUAGUGAGGAUGAAGCAAAUGCUAAAGUGCUUUGGUAUCAAAUAACAAGAGACUUGACAGACACCAAGAAGUGGAAUUUUUUAUGUUAUACUAUUUUUGUGCCUCACCUUCUAUUUCCUCAAUUUCUUUGUGACUUAAUUACCAAAUUCAUCGAAUAUUGUUACAAAUUGGACCAGCACAAGGUCAAGGCGUUAAGGCGACGCGAGGCGGUGGUCAAGCACCUAGAUGAGUGAAAGACUGAAAAAUGAAGAGAAAACUACCUGGACUCUCGGCAAAGAAGAAGUCAGAAGUCAAUCCACACUCUCCGGCGUCUCGGCGAAGAAGAAGUCAGAAGUCAGUUCUUAGUUUCAGAUCUGAAAUCUAGAUGAGAGUAUCAGAGUAUGAGACUAGAAGUAGAAGACUAGAUCUAGAUCUAAAAAUAAGCUAGCUAACUUAGCGUCUACUGUCUAGCGAGUCUGAG
rnacentral:lncRNA from 1 species